GGAGAGAUGGCUCAGUGGUUAAGAGCACUGACUGCUCUUCCAGAGGUCCUGAGUUUAAUUCCCAAUAACUACA
rnacentral:tRNA from 1 species